rnacentral:rRNA from 1 species
GACGAACGCUGGCGGCGUGCUUAACACAUGCAAGUCGAGCGACGCUCUUCCUUCGGGGAGAUGACGGAGCGGCGAACGGGUGAGUAACACGUGGGCAACCUGCCCCUAGCUCUGGGACAACACCGGGAAACCGGUGCUAAUACCGGAUACGACAUCGAGCGGCAUCUCUCGAUGUGGAAAGUUUUUUCGGCUAGGGAUGGGCCCGCGGCCUAUCAGCUUGUUGGUGGGGUAAUGGCCCACCAAGGCGACGGCGGGUAGCCGGCCUGAGAGGGCGACCGGCCACACUGGGACUGAGACACGGCCCAGACUCCUACGGGAGGCAGCAGUGGGGAAUAUUGCGCAAUGGGCGAAAGCCUGACGCAGCGACGCCGCGUGAGGGAUGACGGCCUUCGGGUUGUAAACCUCUUUCAGCAGGGACGAAUUCAGACGGUACCUGCAGAAGAAGCACCGGCCAACUACGUG